GGAGGGGUGGCAGAGCGGUUGAUCGCGGCGGUCUUGAAAACCGUUGAAGGUGUGAGCCUUCCGGGGGUUCAAAUCCCUCCCCCUCCGCCA
rnacentral:tRNA from 10 species